GUCCCUGCAGUGCGAUGGAUAGCGCAUUGAACUUGUAAUCCAAAGUCGUGGGUCCAAAUCCCACCUGGGAUG